GGUCCAGACUCCUACGGGAGGCAGCAGUGGGGGAUAUUGCACAAUGGGGGGAACCCUGAUGCAGCGACGCCGCGUGGGUGAAGGAGUAUUUCGGUAUGUAAAGCCCUAUCGGCAGGGAAGAAGGAGGACGGUACCUGACUAAGAAGCCCCGGCUAACUACGUACCAGCAGCCGCGGUAAUACGUAGGGGGCAAGCGUUAUCCGGAAUUACUGGGUGUAAAGGGAGCGCAGACGGCAGUGCAAGUCUGGAGUGAAAGCCCGUGGCUUAACUACGGGACUGCUCUGGAAACUGUGCAGCUAGAGUGCAGGAGAGGCAGGCGGAAUUCCUAGUGUAGCGGUGAAAUGCGUAGAUAUUAGGAGGAACACCGGUGGCGAAGGCGGCCUGCUGGACUGUAACUGACGUUGAGGCUCGAAAGCGUGGGGAGCAAACAGGAUUAGAUACCCCGGUACCU
rnacentral:rRNA from 1 species